UGUGCAUGGCCAUGAAAACUGCUGUGCUUAGAGGAUGCUGUUGAAUCCAGUCUGAACACAAAUUCAGUUCACAGUGGAGAAGCAAUGCCUGGAAUGCUGGCUCUUUCUGAUCCCCUAGAGGAAAGCAUGCCUGGUCCGGCAUAGCCGAUCACCUCUCUUAGCGGGAGUUGAACUGCAAGCUUGAUCAAGGCAAGGCAGGCUGGCUAAUGCUCAUCUACAGAGUGGUAAGCAAUGGAAAAUUAGCAGAAACUGUGGCACAUGUGAGGGCUUUAUUGAUCUGAUUUCCCUGCAGAACUGGUUUCUCCAUGAAAGCAAUCUACCUGCUCUCAGGACCAAAGGCAUAUACUCUGAAGUUUCAUUGAGUCUGGCAAUUGUGAUAACUACAGAUUGUUCUCAGGAGUCUUUCUCAGGUGGCACCAAAGAAUAAAUGCACCAUAAUCUCC